AGGGGUAUAGCUCAGUGGUGUACAGCAUUCGACUGCAGAUCGAGAGGUCUCCGGUUCAAACUCGAUGCCUUCU